UGCGUAGGCGGUUAUAUUAGUCUUGUGUUAAAACUUUGGGCUCAACCCAAAGAUCGCAUAGGAAACGGUAUAACUAGAAGAAGUGAGAGGUUUAGAGAACUCUCGGUGUAGGGGUGAAAUCCGUUGAUAUCGAGGGGAAUACCAAUGCGAAGGUACUAAACUGGCACUUUCUUGACGCUGAGGCACGAAAGCGUGGGUAGCGAACG
rnacentral:rRNA from 1 species